rnacentral:rRNA from 1 species
GACAGAGGGUGCAAACGUUGUUCGGAAUUACUGGGCGUAAAGCGCGUGUAGGCUGUCCCCGCAAGUCGGGUGUGAAAGCCCUGGGCUCAACCUAGGAAGUGCACUCGAAACUGCGGGACUUGAGUCCUGGAGAGGAAGGCGGAAUUCUCGGUGUAGAGGUGAAAUUCGUAGAUAUCGAGAGGAACACCGGUGGCGAAGGCGGCCUUCUGGACAGUGACUGACGCUGAGACGCGAAAGCGUGGG